AGUGAACGCUGGCGGUAGGCCUAACACAUGCAAGUCGAACGGCAGCACAGGAGAGCUUGCUCUCUGGGUGGCGAGUGGCGGACGGGUGCGGAAUACAUCGGAAUCUACCUUUUCGUGGGGGAUAACGUAGGGAAACUUACGCUAAUACCGCUUACGACCUACGGGUGAAAGCAGGGGACCUUCGGGCCUUGCGCGAUUGAAUGAGCCGAUGUCGGAUUAGCUAGUUGGCGGGGUAAAGGCCCACCAAGGCGACGAUCCGUAGCUGGUCUGAGGGGAUGAUCAGCCACACUGGAACGGAGACACGGUCCAGACUCCUACGGGAGGCAGCAGUGGGGAAUAUUGGACAAUGGGCGCAAGCCUGAUCCAGCCAUACCGCGUGGGUGAAGAAGGCCUUCGGGUUGUAAAGCCCUUUUGUUGGGAAAGAAAUCCAGCUGGCUAAUACCCGGUUGGGAUGACGGUACCCAAAGAAUAAGCACCGGCUAACUUCGUGCCAGCCGCCGCAGUAA
rnacentral:rRNA from 1 species